CGGUACGUACUGGCAUCGUCGGUUUCUCCCUUCUGACGAACCAUGAUGUCAUUUAUUUGGUGUCGUGGGGAAUCAGGACUGUUACUUUGAAAAAAUUAGAGUGUUUAAAGCAGGCUCACGCUUGAAUACAUUAGCAUGGAAUAAUGAAAUAGGACGUUUGAUUCUAUUUUGUUGGUUUCUAGGAUCGACGUAAUGAUUAAUAGGGAUAGUUGGGGGCAUUAGUAUUCAAUUGUCAGAGGUGAAAUUCUUGGAUUUAUUGAAGACUAACUACUGCGAAAGCAUUUGCCAAGGAUGUUUUCAUUAAUCAAGAACGAAAGUUAGGGGAUCGAAGACGAUCAGAUACCGUCGUAGUCUUAACCAUAAACUAUGCCGACUAGGGAUCGGACGCAGUUAAUUUUAUAAUGACGUGUUCGGCACCUUACG
rnacentral:rRNA from 1 species